rnacentral:rRNA from 1 species
UAAGGAAUAUUGGUCAAUGGAGGCAACUCUGAACCAGCCAUGCCGCGUGCAGGAAGAAGGCCCUAUGGGUCGUAAACUGCUUUUGAACAAGAGAAAACCCCGGUACGUGUACUGGGUUGAUAGUAUUGUUAGAAUAAGCAUCGGCUAACUUCGUGCCAGCAGCCGCGGUAAGACGAAGGAUGCAAGCGUUAUCCGGAUUCAUUGGGUUUAAAGGGUGCGUAGGCGGACUGAUAAGUCAGUGGUGAAAUCUCUCGGCUUAACCGAGAAACUGCCAUUGAUACUGUUAGUCUAGAGUACAGAUGAUGUGGGCGGAAUAUGACAUGUAGUGGUGAAAUACUUAGAUAUGUCAUAGAACACCGAUUGCAAAGGCAGCUCACAAAACUGUAACUGACGCUGAGGCACGAAAGUGCGGGGAUCAAACAGGAUUAGAUACCCACGUAGUCCCUGAGCGGGCUGGCAAGGCGCAU